UACGUAGGCAGCGAGCGUUGUUCGGAGUUACUGGGCGUAAAGGGUGUGUAGGCGGUUGUUUAAGUUUGGUGUGAAAUCUCCCGGCUCAACUGGGAGGGUGCGCCGAAUACUGAAUGACUUGGAGUGCGGGAGAGGUGAGUGGAAUUCCAGGUGUAGCGGUGGAAUGCGUAGAUAUCUGGAAGAACACCGGUGGCGAAGGCGGCUCGCUGGGCCAGUUCUGACACUCAUCCGCGAAAGCGUGGGGAGCAAACAGG
rnacentral:rRNA from 1 species